UAAAUGUGACAGCACUGCCAGCAGGUACCUGUGGCCACCUAAAGCUCCGCCGGGCUUCUUCUUCUGUGUGGUGGUCUUCCUGCCUUCACUAUGCCCUCAGGCAGGAUGGGCACUACCUGCGUUCUCCUCUCUACAGUGGCAAGUGUCUUAGAAAGAGCAGUUCUCCUGCUCCAGACAGGCCCAGCCUGGAGGGCCUGAGGGUAGCAGACCCUGGUGAGUCUCUAUUAUAUUGCUCUUUCUUACUGGGUAAGUCUGAGCUCAGAGACCAGCUGCUCUGUUCCAAACCCGGUGAGGAGGCUGGUGAGGGCCACACUCAGGGCAGGCUGCCCAGGCCAAGUUGCUGAGCCACAGGGAGGUUCUGCAGAUGUUGGUCUCCAUAAAGCAGGCACUUGUGGCUGCCUGAAGCGCUAGGUGACCCCAUUCUUCCUGAUGCUGAAGAAGUCGUCACACAUCCACUUCCUGGAAUCCAGAAGCCUUUGUUUCCUCCUCAGACAGAGAGGGAAGUCUCAGUGGGUACCAAGUUCAUCUGAAGUUUCCAGCCUUUGUCCUCUGACUGGGAUUCAGCUAUGUGUUCCUGGCCUGGCAGCAGUCCUCCUGUCUCAGCCUUCUGACCACUACGAUUAUAGGUUUGAGCCACCACACUGCCUUUCAAAGCAUGACUCUUCACUGUGCUGUCCAGGCUUGGCAGUUCUUUCAACUAUCCUGGGUAGAUGACUGUAUGUGCCAACCUGAUGUCCCCAGCAAUCCUGUGCUCCAGAUAAGCACAAGCCAUUGGUCUGACUGGAGACCACUGCUUUCUCAGCUCCUAUAAAUAUCCUGAUGAUGUACCUUCAGGAACAGACAUUAGAAUCCCUGGCAGGGUUGUCCAAGUCCCCCCUAGCUAUUUGUGUAUAAGAACCUACACAAUAGCUAUAUAAGAUUCCGGUUCAAAUGGAAUGAAAGCCAUAUUUCAACAACACUGAGAAGAUGAGUUCAUGAAAAACUAGAAGAGCCUUUAGUUCCUGUGAUGUGUCCUACGUGUCAGGCAAGCCUACUUAUAAGCUCAGUGCUGCUAACUUUUGGUGGCAAGUCACUCCAUCUACUAGAGAUGCUGUCUGGAUUCUUCCCGUUCUUCACACAGUAGAACUAGAUAUUAUCAAGAUACUUACAGGGUCCUUUUUGGCUUUGGCCUGAAGGCGGUUCUUACAUUCAGUAGAACACUGUGUUCUGUUGAAACCUUACAUGUUUUCUCCAUGAGCCUUCCCAUGUCUGCCUGUCUCUUCUUAGACAUGACAGAGAGUGAAACAAGUUGCUCUUUUAGGCUUCAAAAGAUUAUGGAACUGUCUUUUCUCUUGUUGUUGUUGUUCCAUUUUCAAUAACUCAAAACUCUUUGGGAUCCAUUACAUCAACCUUGGCAAGUGGGUAGAGCAGCAAACCAGGCUCCCCUAGUUUGGAACCAAAACAAGGAUCAUUCACACACCCUCUUUCUAGCUUUAUCAAGACUAGAUUUUUUUUUCCCUUUAGCUGGAUGAUGUAUACAUUUAACAUUCCAGGAAAAAGGUGUCUGUGAUAUGAAAGUCAUAGUAAAUGGAUUCAAGAUGAGACCAUGACAGAGACUGACUUGUCAGAAAACAACAUCCAACCACGAGACUCCAGGUGGUUACUUUUCCAUCUUUCCUGGGAUCUUGAUGGUCUUGAACUCCACAUUCUUCUACUUCGGACUCCUGAGUGUGGGGAUUACAGUCAUACAGAGCCACACCCACUGGUCCUAAAAUAGUUUUCUUUUCUCUUUGUUUUAAGGGAACGUCUACCAAAUGCUACACAGUGUUGAGACAAAUACUGUUCAGCCUAGUGUUGCUACUACACAGAAGGAUAAGAUGGAACCCUUGUCUUCUCACACUUGAGCUGGGGCACCCACAGCUACAGAUCUGAAUAUGGCACCAUGACGAGCUGUUACCACAAUGGACUGUGGAGACUGGGUAUGAGGGGAAUGGAUGGAGGUAGCAUCUGCUUUGAGUGGCGUUUAGAGGCUUCCCUGGUAUACACUGCCACAAUAAAUAUGUCACAUUGGAAGGUG
rnacentral:lncRNA from 1 species